ACAAAACUCUCAAAAACAAAAUAAAAAAGUACAACAUAUAAGCAAAAGACCAGUAAGACAAAAAUGCCCAAACAAAGCAAUAUGAGAUGAGAUACUUUUUAAUAUACUAUUUUAAUGACGUGCUCUAAGAAGAACUCAGUUCCCAGACAUGUGAAAAUUUCACUGGGAGUAGUUGAAAUAAGAAAAGAAAGGAGGAGAAUAAUCCAACAUUGCAAAAUCAUAUUCAUGGUAGAACAUGUCACUGAAGCGAAAUUCUAUGACCAUUGGGAGUAUGGGACCAAGGGAGGAAUGAGUGAAGGAAAGCCCCCUAUUGGUUGAAUUGGAAGGCAGAAGCUCUAGGGAGUUAUCUAGUGUUCUAUGGAGCACAUGGCUCCUGAGUACUAGCUAUCGUGUCCUGGGAAGAAACAUAGUACUUGGAACCAGUAUCAAAAUUAUUGAUUCUAAAAUGGGCACAUUAUAAAUGUUUAUAGGUGACUGAAGGGUUUUUUUUUUUUUUAAAAAAAAAAAAAAAGGUGAUAUUUGACAAUGAGUAUAAACUGUUGGAAUCCCAGCCAUGGUGGAGCCUCCAUUUCUUAGUUCUUCUAUGGACUAGUAGUGGCCUACAGCCUGGGGUCUUUGGAAGAUAGCAUGGUUAAAUUAAUAAAAUGAGUCAUGACAAGUAGCAUCAAACAUCCAUAUAAUACCCAAAUGUCUGCUUGUUUUUGAAGAAUAGAGGAGAUGAACAUAACUGGGUUUAGUAUAUAAAAAGUUAAAUAAUUGGAAUUCCCUGGGACUAAGGAUGGAGAAAUGAUGAAUCAUGAUGAGCCACAAGGCCAUGAGAGGAGGAGCUUGGUAGUCCUUACAAACAUUUCAGUCUUCUCUUUUUAGAAAUAGCUUUUUAAAAAAAUGUCGGCCUAGGAAAUCUGAUAGUUUCAUACCUGUCUACCCUCAUUUAGUCUAGCCUUGUAUUUUAUCACGUUAGGAGUCUAGGAGGCUGGGGACUAGUAAGAAUAUAAAAUUAUGUUUGGCUCAUAUUUCUAUAUUAGAAAGUAUUUGAUUCAUAAAAUAUUUGAGUAAAGAAGUCACAUUAGAACUAAUCUUAUCAAAAUUAUUGAUUCUAAAAUGGGCACAUUAUAAAUGUUUAUAGGUGACUGAAGGGGUAAAAAAAGAGGUGAUAUUUGACAAUUAGUAUAAACUGUGGCUAAAUUUCAAGUAAAAAAUAGGGAAUAACUCUGGUCUAAACAAACAUGGGAGUUGUGGCACAAACAGACACAAUCAGAGCCUCCAGCCUGCAAAUGGACGCAUGUAUUAAGAGGUCUUUAUGCUUUAACAAUACCUAAAAUACCUUGGCUGUCAUGUACAGUAGUUACUCUGUGUAACCUUGUGGUGCCCAGCUAAAAGCUGUGCUUAUUCUUUUCUCAUACAUGCUGUUAGCAACAGCACCCACAUCUCAGAACAAAGCUCAUUCAUGAGGAACUAAUGAAGCGCAAUAGGUGAUCAGAAGUUUCUCAAAACUGUGCCAUUCCUUGACUCACACUGGACUCGAGUGCUAGCAGACAACAGAUUUUUUUUUUUUUAACAAAAAACUAAAUACAGUCAAUGGUGGUGAUAAAGACAGGAGACUUUUAGUUUUAACAAUCUAACUCAUUUUCAUCCAAGUAAAGCAUAAGAUCUGAGGUAGUCCUGAGGCUGAAUCCAAUUUCUUCUAGUUUCAGAUUGUCUUAUAUUUGGCAGGUGUCUAAGCUGCUGGAGCUCUGUUAUUCCAUUUGCAAAGCAGAGUUAAUGCUGGUCUCUGGUGAACUGGUAAAUGUUUAUAGCAAGAAAACCCAAAUUUAUAGGGUGUGCUAAUUUCUACAGUAUAGUUCCUUCCCUUGGUGGUUUAUUUCAGGCUACCGGUGGGAUGUCCCUGAGCACAGAACUGCGAAGCAAUGAGUGACAGGGUCAUAACAUUUCCACCCAUGAGAUGCACUGGGCCUCAGUCAGCCCAGGAGACAAUAGUCAGAGCUAGGAACUAGGAUCUAGGAAGCAAUGCAUCAUGAUUACUACAUUUGUUCUUAGUAUACAUCGGUAUGGUUUGGAUCUAAAACAACUCCUUAAGUCUCAUGUACUCAAGGCUUCAUUUUCACCACAGCAGUGUUCAGACAGUUGAUUGGAUCAUAAGGGCUCUGACAUCAUCAGCAGAUUAACUGAUAAAUGAAUUCAUAGCCUGAUGAGCUAUUAAGAGGGGGUAGAAAUUUGGGAGGUGGCACCUCAUAGAGGAAGUAGGUUAUUUGGGACAGGUCCUUGAAGAAUGUAUUUAGUGUCCAGGUGUACCUUCCCCCCAGGUUCUAUGCAUUCUCUCCACCAUGUUGCUUUGCCCCAACAUAGGCCAAGAAACUACAGAGCCAAGUGACUAUGGGCUGAACUCUCUGAUGCGGUUGGCUUUGCCAGUCUGCCUUCCAAUGGGCAGUGCUCACGGAGUUCCACAUCUCCCGUGCUAAAGCGUCAGUGAUGGACAUGUAAAGUGAGUUUGGGCCCUGCCAGGCCAUGCAGCACUGGAAAGAGCGGACAGCGUGCAACCUGGACCGUGGACUGGGAAGCAGAGUGAAAAGCAAGUGGAUACUAUCAUCCUUAUUCUACUGCUGGGAAGUUUGAGACUGGCGAGGUUGGAGCUGUGCUUCCUACUCAGGCCUCCAAACUGCAGAGUCCCCGCCUGGAUGCAUGAUGCCACUGUAGGUGUGACACCAGAAAGCUUCAUGUGUCAAGGAGACUGUCGACUACAGCAGGAAGAUGAAAGCUACAUGGAGCAGAGUUGCCACAGCAAACAGCCCAGCUGAGCUCAGCCUGUAACAGAGUCUCCAUUCAACCUGCACUGGAGGCAAGCUUGGCUGAACCCAACCCAGAUCAGCUGACCCACAGCCAACCCCCAUGGAGCUAUUAUAAUUGAACGGUUGUUGAAAGACAGUGUUGGCAGUUUAUAUGCAGCAGAGCUAACUUUAUGCCUCUUUUGCUGAGUACUUUUAGAAUCUGUCCAGUUCAAUAA